GCUGCUGCGCAGGCGCGGCCGCCUCCGGUCGAAUCGCGCGGCGACGCCCGCGUCGUGGGGAAUCGUGUGUCGAGUUGCAGGCGGCUUUUCGAGAGCAGCGGCCCGGAGCGGUCGCGGUGGAGAUGGCGGCGACUCUGGGAUUCCGACCCUCCGGUCUCUGUCGAUUCUGUCCGCCUCAGGUUACUUGUGAAAGCCCGAAAAAGGGCUCUUUAUGUAAAAUCUUGUGAAUGCGAAAGUUUUGGUUACUCAAGCAGAAGAGCAUUUGGAGAGAAAGUAAGGAAAAGAACUCAGAACUCGGAUUGAGGAGAAAUCGUUUAGGGUCUUGCUUCGUUCCUCGAGAAAUGAGCUAGAGUUCGUACAUGCCAGUGCCUUGCUCCUACGUUGUGCUGCUUAAAGUAAGGACUGUACUGGCCCAGCAGUUGAGCGACGGUAUAGAGAAGAAAGCAUUUGCCAGAUCAAUAGCUGCAUACCAGGUAAUAUGUUAAUUUGAUCAAGCAAUGAAACCACAUCUGGUAUAGCAACUGCAAUUGGAGGCUCCACCUGUUUAAGCUUGUGAUAAUCCACUGUCGUCCUCCAAGAUCCAGCUGUCUUCUGCAAAGGUUAAAUAGAAACUCAGAACUAUCACUGCUGCUUUUGAAUACAGAGAGGUGAAAAAUUUUGUGGCUGGGGGCAACCAAGGUUUUGACUGGCCGGGAGAGUGGGGUAAGCACAGGACGGUGUAAGUAGGAGUGAGAUGGGGAAAGAGAAAGCAGGUGGCUGUGGCAUGGUUGAAAGUUUUACUUGUUAUGUGGUUGGGGUGUGUGCACAGUGUGAAAACUCAUGUUUGUUAAGAGGGGGGAGAGGACUGGAAUGGAUAAUUGUGCAAUGCUUACAUACAGGUUUUGAAGAUUUACAUGGAAGGCAGGACUGAGAAAUUUGUUAUUUACUGUUUAGGUUCUUUUUAAGUUUCUGCCGUGGCAAUUAAUGUAAAAGACACACUUUGGCAUGGAAAAUUACAGAAAGAAUAAAAGCAGGGUCUGUAAAUAGCUACCUCACAGUUUUGUUGUAAGCGUAAA